GUUGAACGCUGGCGGCAUGCUUUACACAUGCAAGUCGAACGGUAACAGGCCGCAAGGUGCUGACGAGUGGCGAACGGGUGAGUAAUGCAUCGGAACGUGCCCAGUCGUGGGGGAUAACGCAGCGAAAGCUGCGCUAAUACCGCAUACGAUCUAUGGAUGAAAGCGGGGGACCGUAAGGCCUCGCGCGAUUGGAGCGGCCGAUGUCAGAUUAGGUAGUUGGUGGGGUAAAGGCUCACCAAGCCAACGAUCUGUAGCUGGUCUGAGAGGACGACCAGCCACACUGGGACUGAGACACGGCCCAGACUCCUACGGGAGGCAGCAGUGGGGAAUUUUGGACAAUGGGCGCAAGCCUGAUCCAGCAAUGCCGCGUGCAGGAAGAAGGCCUUCGGGUCGUAAACUGCUUUUGUACGGAACGAAAAGGCUCUGGAUAAUACCUGGGGCUCAUGACGGUACCGUAAGAAUAAGCACCGGCUAACUACGUGCCAGCAGCCGCCGUAAUAC
rnacentral:rRNA from 1 species